UAUGUCUCUUGGAAUAAUUAUAUAUGGCUGCCUCCCUUUUCUCAAAAUCACAAGACUUCGUCUCAUUAAGUCUGUGGUGAAAUUGUUUCCCUGUCAACUGGUAAAUGGUUGUAAUUACAGCAGAAAACCACCAGAUGGCAAAAUGGCAAACUCACAUGAAUCCAGAUAAUAAAAGGGUCUUCCUUUCUUUGAGGGCUUCCUUCAAAAACCUUGGCCUGCGAUGGCCUGGAUUGCAGGAGUCCUAUGAUGUUGGCUAGUCGGUGUAAUUGUCGGGCUUUUCCCUUAAUCCAUUUAUGCCUGAGGUUGCAAUUUUUUGAAUUUUUGCAAUUAGACCUUGGCGAUGACCUUGAGCAGUAGGAUAUAAAUAACUCCCUUGUGUUUAGCAUUCCAGUAAUGGAACACUAGCCAUAAUAAACCGUUCCAAAAAUGCGUUCUAAUGGCUCUCAAGCAAGGUCCACUUGCAGUGAAAUAAACCAGAGGUUUGAAUCAUGGCUUGAUACGAAAUUAUUGGAAAGAAUAUGGCGAUGACAUCCACAAUGCCGGUAAGAAGACGAAAUUACAAGCAGGAUGAAAAAUUUGUUCAAUGAAACACAGCUAUUAAGUGGCUGACCUAAUAAGUGUUAUGUAUAAGUGACUCAUCCAUUGUAGCUUCUGGGACUCAACUUUAGGAUCAUCGUCAUAUGCAGCCUGGAGCUAGCCAUAUUUGAAGAGCUAGGAAGGAGGCACAGUGAUUGACAAUCUCCUUUCUCCUCAACUAGAAUGUCAUUUCCUUUUUUAAAACUAAUUUAAAUCCCAUCUACAUUCAAUUGCUUGUCUAAAAUAAAACCCAACUCCUCUCUUAAAGACUUUAAAAAUAUUAUAUAGCAGAGUUCAUCCUUUCUUUCUUCAGAGAAAGCAUCAUGAAAACAUGUUUUCAGGACAUUAAUAACUUGAUAUUCACAACCAACCUUUAAAUUUGGAAACAAGGAAUUCAUAACUACGUUGUAUAUAUAUGAAGAAAGUAAGCCUCAGAGAAUUUCAAGAGCCCGUCCAGGAUAGUCUGCUUCAGAGCCAUGGUUCUCAAAGUAUAUCAGAUCUCCAGAGUAGGUCUGCAGUGGGAGCCAAAAUUUUGCAUUUCUAACUUGGUCCCAGGUGAUACUUGUGCUGGCGCUGCUAGUCUACACUUAACUCUAUUCACUUUUUUUGUGUUUUCUUAGGAUAAAGAAAAUAUUUAGAAGAUGAGAUUCCUGUGUUUCUGGCUUUCAUAACUUUUUAGAUUUCCUUUCUACUGGAAAACUUUUAACUUUGAAAACCGCAAGUAAUAUUUUUCUUCCUGAAACCUCUGCAGUGGUAGCAAUGCACUGAAGUUUGAUUAAAAGUUUACUGGUCAUUCCUGCCAUGAGAAGAUGAUAGAGAAUAUCACCACAGUGUGACUUGCUUCCAAGGCAGCAUGGUUUCAUGCAGAGGAUCUAAACUGGGGACCAUGUGCUGGGCUGCAAAAGGGCUGUGCAGUGCCUAAAAUGUUAUGCAAAAUUUUAUAAAGAGUGCACACCUUCUACUUAUUAAAAAAAAAAACAAACUGUAAAACAGCAUCAUGCAGGUUCUUCAGGAGAGAUUCCAGAGGAAGGCAUUGUUGUGGUAGAAGAUGACAGUUCCACAGGUGUUACUAGCCAUGAAGAUCUUCCAGUGAGACAAGAUGUGGAGGUGGAAGACAGUGAUAUUGAUGAUUCUGAUCCUGUUGUUAUAAAUAAAGUUUCGGUUCCACAAAA
rnacentral:lncRNA from 1 species